CCCUUAGAUGUUCUGGGCUGCACGCGUGCUACACUGAUAUUGCCAAUAUGUCAUUCUUAUCCGAAAUGGAUUGGGUAAUCAAGUAAUGAAAUUUCAUGCUUGGAAUCGGUAAUUGCAAUUUUAUCGUGAACGAGGAAUUCCUAGUAAGCACUAGUCAUCAGCUAAUGUUGAUUAUGUCCCUGCCCUUUGUACACACCGCCCGUCGCUACUACUGAUUGGGUGUUCAAGUGAGAUGCUUAGACCCUUGUUGCGUGGUUCAUUAUUGUGCUCCGAAAGGGAAAAGUUUCAAGCUCGAGUGUCUAGAGGAAGUAAAAGUCGUAACA
rnacentral:rRNA from 1 species